rnacentral:rRNA from 1 species
CCUACGGGGUGCAGCAGUGAGGAAUAUUGGUCAAUGGACGAGAGUCUGAACCAGCCAAGUAGCGUGAAGGAUGACUGCCCUAUGGGUUGUAAACUUCUUUUAUAUGGGAAUAAAACGUUCCACGUGUGGGAUUUUGUAUGUACCAUAUGAAUAAGGAUCGGCUAACUCCGUGCCAGCAGCCGCGGUAAUACGGAGGAUCCGAGCGUUAUCCGGCUUUAUUGGGUUUAAAGGGAGCGUAGGUGGAUUGUUAAGUCAGUUGUGAAAGUUUGCGGCUCAACCGUAAAAGUGCAGUUGAAACUGGCAGUCUUGAGUACAGUAGAGGUGGGCGGAAUUCGUGGUGUAGCGGUGAAAUGCUUAGAUAUCACGAAGAACUCCGAUUGCGAAGGCAGUUCACUGGACUGCAACUGACACUGAGGCUCGAAAGUGUGGGUAUCAAACAGGAUUAGAUACCCCGGUAGUC